UUCUUUACCUGGCAGGGGAGAUACCAUGAUCAUAAAGGUGGUUUUCCCAGGGUGAGGCUUAUCCACUUAUGUUUUCUAACACCCAGAUUUUGAUAUAUUGUAUGGC
rnacentral:snRNA from 1 species